rnacentral:rRNA from 1 species
UACGUAGGGGGCAAGCGUUGUCCGGAAUCAUUUGGGCGUAAAGGAGCGUGUAGGCGGCCAGAAAAGUCCGCUGUGAAAACUCGAGGCUCAACUUCGAGCUGUCGGUGGAAACUUUCUGGCUAGAGUCCGGAAGAGGAGAAUGGAAGUUCCUGGUGUAGCGGUGAAAUGACGCAGAUAUCAGGAAGAACACCCGUGGCGAAGGCGGUUCUCUUGGGACGGUACUGACGCUGAGACGCGAAAGCGUGGGGAGCGAACAGGAUUAGAUACCUUG